ensembl:snRNA U1 U1 spliceosomal RNA
ACACAGACCUGGUAGGGGAAACACCAUGAUCAGAAAGGUGGUUUUCCCAGGGCAAGGCACAUCCAUUGCACUUUGGGAUGUGCUGACCCCUGCAUUUUCCCCCAAUGCGAGAAACUCGACUGCACAAUUUGUGGUAAUGGGGGACUGUGUUUGUGCUUUCCCCUG